rnacentral:rRNA from 1 species
UCCCGCAACGAGCGCAACCCUUGUCACUAGUUGCCAUCAUUUGGUUGGGCACUCUAGUGAGACUGCCGGUGACAAACCGGAGGAAGGUGGGGAUGACGUCAAGUCCUCAUGGCCCUUAUGGGUAGGGCUUCACACGUCAUACAAUGGUCGGUACAGAGGGUUGCCAAGCCGCGAGGUGGAGCCAAUCCCUUAAAGCCGAUCGUAGUCCGGAUCGUAGUCUGCAACUCGACUACGUGAAGUCGGAAUCGCUAGUAAUCGCAGAUCAGCAUGCUGCGGUGAAUACGUUCCCGGGUCUUGUAACACCGCCCGUA